UCGCUGUGUGUUACAAGUGUCACACGGAACUGCCCGGGUCAUAAAACCCGGAGGAAGGUGGGGAUGACGUCAAGUCAGCAUGGCCUUUAUAUCCUGGGCUACACACACGCUACAAUGGGAAGGGACAAUAGGUUGCGAAGCCGCGAGGCGGAGCCAAUCCAGCAAACUUCCCUCAGUUCAGAUUGCAGGCUGCAACCCGCCUGCAUGAAGUUGGAGUUGCUAGUAAACGCAGGUCAGCCAUACUGCGUUGAAUACGUUCCCGGGGCUU
rnacentral:rRNA from 1 species